GACAGAGGUGCCAAGCGUUAGGCGGAAUCACUGGGCUUAAAGCGUGUGUAGGUGGAUUUGUAAGUGUCUUGUGAAAUCCCACGGCUCACCCGUGGAACUGCUGGGCAUACUGGCGAUCUUGGGCCAACUAGGGGCAACUGGAACAAGCGGUGGAGCGGUGAAAUGCGUAGAUAUCGCUUGGAACGCCAAAGGUGAAAACAGGUUGCUGGGGUUGUGCCGACGCUGAGACACGAAAGCCAGGGGAGCAAACGGG
rnacentral:rRNA from 1 species